rnacentral:rRNA from 1 species
CUACCAUGGCAGUCACGGGUAACGGAGAAUUAGGGUUCGAUUCCGGAGAGGGAGCCUGAGAAACGGCUACCACAUCUACGGAAGGCAGCAGGCGCGCAAAUUGCCCAAUCCCGACACGGGGAGGCAGUGACAAGAAAUAACAACUCUAGGUUUUCUUAGAAGUGUAAUGAGGAUAAUUUACAAACCUUACCAAAUGCAAUUGGAGGGCAAGUCUGGUGCCAGCAGCCGCGGUAAUUCCAGCUCCAAUGGCGUAUAUUAAAGUUGUUGCAGUUAAAAAGCUCGUAGUUGAAAAUCUGAUUGCUCAGGUCUCCAGCCUUUAGGCGGGGAUUCUGACAGUCAUCCGCUUGCAAACAUAUGUUCGAUCUUCACCGGUUGGCUAUGUGAGUAAGCACUUUACCUUGAGAAAAACAGAGUGUUCCAGGCAGGUUUGUCCGGAAUGCAUUAGCAUGGAAUAAUAGAACAUGACUGAAGUCUAUUUAUUGGUUAAAGGCUUUAGUAAUGAUUAAUAGGAACAGUCGGGGGCAUUCGUACUCAGCAGUCAGAGGUGAAAUUCUAAGAUUUGCUGAAGACGAACUAAUGCGAAAGCAUUUGCCAAGGAUGUUUUCAUUAAUCAAGAACGAAAGUUAGGGGAUC